rnacentral:rRNA from 2 species
AGCUUGACGGAACUCUUCGGAGGGAAGAUAAGUUGACUGAGUGGCGGACGGGUGAGUAACGCGUGAGCAACCUGCCCAUAAGAGGGGGAUAACAGUUGGAAACGACUGCUAAUACCGCAUAAGACCACAUUACCGCAUGGUAGAGGGGUCAAAGAAAUUCGCUUAUGGAGGGGCUCGCGUCCCAUUAGGUAGUUGGUAGGGUAAAGGCCUACCAAGCCGACGAUGGGUAGCCGACCUGAGAGGGUGAUCGGCCACACUGGAACUGAGACACGGUCCAGACUCC